rnacentral:rRNA from 1 species
GAUGAACGCUGGCGGCGUGCCUAAUACAUGCAAGUCGAACGGAGAUUCUGUCGUAAUUCGUUACAGCGGAAAUCUCAGUGGCGAACAGGUGAGUAACGCGUUGGUGACCUGCCCCGGAGAGGGGGAUAACAGCUUGAAAGGGCUGCUAAUACCCCAUGAUGUCUAGAGGGUUAGAAACUUCUAGACGAAAGGCUUCGGUCGCUUCGGGAGGGGCCUGCGUCCCAUCAGCUAGUUGGUAGGGUAAUGGCCUACCAAGGCGAAGACGGGUAGGGGACCUGAGAGGGUGACCCCCCACAAUGGAACUGAAACACGGUCCAUACACCUACGGGUGGCAGCAGUAGGGAAUAUUGCACAAUGGGCGAAAGCCUGAUGCAGCAACGCCGCGUGCGCGAAGAAGGCCUUCGGGUUGUAAAGCGCUUUUCGGGGAGAAGAGAAAGGACGGUAUCCCCGGAAUAAGGAUCGGCUAACUACGUG